AAUGGAGCAUCCAUAUAAUCCUAAUAAUCUGGUUUAGGAGUUUCUACAGGAAACCGUAAAUUUCCCGUCUAUGGUUGAAGUGAUUUA
rnacentral:ncRNA from 1 species